rnacentral:lncRNA from 1 species
ACACAUCAUGCCACUCCCAAUAUUAGUUAUCUUCAAAAACCUGUCUAGUCUAGUCUUAUGAAGGAAGGCAUAUUCAUUCCGUCUAUCAGCAGGACUUUGACCCUGUGACUUGUUAAAAACAAAACAAAUACUAACCUACUUAUGAAAGAGCUACAGUCAAAAAUCAAGUACUAAGGAUGGAUAGAAAAGAGAAAGACAAAGCCUAAGAAUUAAAACAACAAAACAAACCAACAAAACUGCCAGAUAUAGAAUCAAGCUUUAUUUUUACUGAAUGAUAGUAUAAGCUUUUAAUAUAACAUAGGCAUGUAUAAUAUUGAAGAUAUUUUAAUUUGAAAAUAAAGGGAAAAUACAUUUAAUUAUUCCAUUUUUCUUAGUUUUACUUUGAAUUCCAAAUAAGAAUUUUAAUACAUUUUUGGCUGGGCACGGUGGCUCACGCCUAUAUCCUAGCACUUUGGGAGACCGAGGAAGGUGGAUCACCUGAGGUCAGGAAUUCGACAACAGCCUGGCCAACACGGUGAAACCCCGUCUCUACUAAAAAUAUAAAAAUUAGCCAGGCAUGGUGGUGCACACCUGUAAUCCCAGCUACCUGGGAAGCUGAGGCAGGAGAAUUGCUUGAACCUGGGAGGCAGAGGAUGCAGUGAGCCGAGAUUGCGCCAUUGCACUCCAGCCUGGGCAAGAGAGCGAGACUGCCUCUCAAAACAAAACAAAACAAAAGCAAAACAAUUUUAGUAUCUUUUUUACUAAGAUGUAAAAUGUCAGGUGCUCAGGACAAUUUUACUGCUGAAUCCCUGAAAGACAAAGGGUAUUUUAUUCCAUUUCAUAUUUCCCCCAAAUUGUUCAUAAUGGUUACUUUUGAACAUAAAUGUCUGCGUAAUUGUAAAAGAAAUUAUUCCAUAUAUAUACAUAUAUAUAUACACACACACACACACACAUACACACACACACACACACACACACACACAGACAUAUAUACAGAAUUUGGGUAUUCCAAUAUUGUUAUAUUUAGGUUCUGGUACCACAUUGAAUGCCAGUUAAAUAGCUUCCAUUUGUGUCUCCUUGUUUCUACUAUGACUAUUAAUAUGGAAAGGCAGAACAAAUAGUGCCAUUAAAUUUUUGUAAGAUUUAAAAUCAGAAAAUCAGGCCAGGCACAGUGGCUCACGCCUGUAAUCCCAGCACUUUGGGAGGCUGAGGCAGGUGGAUCGCUUGAGGCCAGGAAUUGGAGACCAGCUUGGCCAACAGGGUGAAACCCCAACUCUACUAAAAAUACAAAAAUUAGCCAGGUAUGGUGGCAGGCACCUGUAAUUCCAGCUACUCAGGAGGCUGAGGCAGGAGAAUUGCUUGAACCCAGGAGGCGGAGGUUGCAGUAAGCCAAGAUCACGCCACUGCACUCCAGCCUAGGUGACAGAGUAAGACCCUGCCUCAAAAAAUUAAUUAAUUAAUUAAAUAAAAUAAGAAAUCUAUUCUGGAAAUCAGUCAUCAAACACCACAAUUUUGGGAAUAUAGUUUGGACGACCACUUCCUUUUCUGGAAACCAUUUUUAGAAUAAGAAAAUGAGCCAGAAUACACCUUGCCAAAUAAGUUUCCCCAAAUCACAAUUAUGAUUUGGGGAAUGAACACAAGAAUGAACAAAUUAAGUCAUAAAUGUAUGCAAUCAUUUUUGAAUGUCUUUGCAGAGAAAUAUUCAAAGUGGUAAGAUGGAUUGAACUGCCAACCAAAAUUGUCAAUCUUUAUUUCAGUCUUCACUAUUAAGCUAAAAAGGUAAUUUUUCUCUUGAAUGAUGUGAAGAAUUGAAUUUCUUUCAACUGUUCCAAAAAUCUAUUUGCGGAAAUAUUUUUAUGCUCCAGCAUGUCUUAAGAGUUUAACAUUUUUGGAUGCUGAGUUAUAACAGAUUCCUGCCUGCCACCCUGUGGGGCAGGCAAGAUGAUAUUAUACAUCUCUUAUAAAACAAAGAUACAGACUCAGAAUGGCUAAUAGGAUAUUGCUGAGGCCUGCCAGGUAAGUCGGAACUUAAGUCUUCUGACUUCUGAAUCACACACAUCACCACAUCAAAUACCUGAUAUUGCAAUCAUACACACAAGAAACAAUUAAAAACAAGCAUGAAAUUUAAUAACAAAAAAUUGACCAAUGUAAAAAAAUGACACUUUUUCACUAUAAAGGUAAUACAUGCUUACUGUAAAAUACUACAAAUAUAGAGAAAAAUAACAAAAUAAAUCCAUUUUCUUUUAGAUAUAUGACCAUUUCCAGUUGAGCAUGCUUCAUUUUACACUGUUGAAGAAUUUUCAGUGGAUACAAAAUUUUAAAUAUUUUUUCCUCAUCCCUAGGUGGCUUUCUCAUUCCCAAAACUUA